AGUGAACGCUGGCGGUGGGCCUAACACAUGCAAGUCGAACGGCAGCACAGUAAGAGCUUGCUCUUACGGUGGCGAGUGGCGGACGGGUGAGGAAUACAUCGGAAUCUACUUUUUCGUGGGGGAUAACGUAGGGAAACUUACGCUAAUACCGCAUACGACCUACGGGUGAAAGCAGGGGAUCUUCGGACCUUGCGCGAUUGAAUGAGCCGAUGUCGGAUUAGCUAGUUGGCGGGGUAAAGGCCCACCAAGGCGACGAUCCGUAGCUGGUCUGAGAGGAUGAUCAGCCACACUGGAACUGAGACACGGUCCAGACUCCUACGGGAGGCAGCAGUGGGGAAUAUUGGACAAUGGGCGCAAGCCUGAUCCAGCCAUACCGCGUGGGUGAAGAAGGCCUUCGGGUUGUAAAGCCCUUUUGUUGGGAAAGAAAAGCAGCAGGUUAAUACCCCGCUGUUCUGACGGUACCCAAAGAAUAAGCACCGGCUAACUUCGUG
rnacentral:rRNA from 1 species